rnacentral:lncRNA from 1 species
CAUGAUACACUACCAAGAACUCAAAUGUUGCUGAAUAGAUAGAACUACACAAAUUUAAAUUUUAGACCCAAACAACAUGCUACACUACGACAAACCAUCCACUAAGUGAUAUCUAGGAGGACUUUAAGCAUCUUUGGGCGGCGAAGACGAAGGUUUAUUUGUGCCUCUUGCGACGGUAGUACUCGGUGGACUUGAAACCGCUGGGACUGGAGGUGGAGUAUAACGACCACCAAAAGGAGGUUCCUGACCCACCGCAAUAGCAUCUUCAUGAUAUCUUUCCAAAUAACGAAGCAUUGCUCUCUCCCACGUGCUCAUUUUCUUCGACUUAUCAUGAGGGCCAACUAUGGUUUUCCCCUUGCCACGAGACGAACUACGAUCACCCCCACCAUCACCACUACCUCCGGCAGCAGUAUCCAUCUCUAUGUACCAUAAUUUAUUUAGCUCAUAUUUGCAAAUAACUAAACUAUAAACAAAUUAUAUUUUUUCCCACAAUAUAGUUAGCUCAAACAUAACAUAUAAAUGAAAAAUUUCUCCAUUGUAGCUUAUUCUAAAAAUGACAAAAUACAUACCUCUAUUUAAUCUUAUUAUCUCUAUGUACCAUAGUUUAUCUCGCUCAUGUUUGCAAAUUACUAAAAUACGAAUAAAUUAUAUUUUUUCCCACAAUUUAUUUAGCUCAUAUUUUAAAGGACUAAACUAUGAAAUUAUUCCUCUAACCUCAUAUUGAUCAGUUUCUUUGACUAAUACGAAACAUAGCAUCCAAAAAAUUGUAGCUCAAACAUAUAUCAUAUAAAUGAAAAAUUUCUCGAUUGUACCUUAUUCUAAAAAUCACAAAUUAUUCUAGCUCUAAAGCAUAAAACUUAGUAUACUAAGCAUGUAUCAAAGGAUGAUGAAGUUUCUAACCUUUAAAACACUUGAACGAGUGAAAUCCCCACGAAAUGGUCAAAAAUCCGGUAGCACCUCCCCU